rfam:Rattus norvegicus chromosome 2, whole genome shotgun sequence.
GGGGAUUUAGCUUAGUGGUAGAGCGCUUGCCUAGCAAGCACAAGGCCCUGGGUUCGGUCCCCAGCUCCA